GGUCCGUUCCGGCACCAUCUUCUGAGGUGCCCGAGCCGGAUCUAGUGAGGUACAGGAGUUACGGGCACAGGUGUCGGCAUUGACCGGUAUUGUACAACGCCAGGAGAGUCGAUUUGAGCAGCUCCAAGGGCUUAUGGAGCUGCAUUUUGCGGCGGCAACUGCAGCUGCGACUGAGGGCCGUGAUCCGCCCCCGCCUCCAGCUCGUGCGCCUACAGCGGCUGAGGGCGAGGGCAUUGCGGCAGUUCCGGUGGCGGCACGUCCUCCGCCGGCAAGCUUUCCUCCGGCGGCGUCGGGUUCCACGACACCCGAUGCGACGGCAUUAGAGGCGGAGAGGGAGCGCGCACUUGCGGCUCUCGAGAAGUUCCGAAGGUUUAAUCCACCGACCUUCGAGGGAGAGAAGGUCGAGCCGUGGAUGGUUGAGUCGUGGGUGGACUCAAUGGAGACCUUGUUUGAGGAUCUCUACACGUUGGAGAGGGACAAGGUCUACCUCGCCACUCAUUGUUUGGAGCGGACGGCGAAGGUUUGGUGGAAGCGAAUCAAGAGGAACCGAGCUUUCGACCUUCCGCCGUUGACAUGGGAGGAGUUCCGGGGGUUGUUCUAUGUCAAUUACUUCCCCGAUAGCAAGAAGAAAAAGCUCCAAGAGCAAUUUCGAAAAUUGAAGCAAGGUGGUCGCACGGUAGCGGAGUAUGAGCGGGAGUUCUCUCACAUCAUCGACUGCGUCCCCGACGUAGUGCGGGGUGACAGGGAUCGAGCCGAUUGGUUCGAGCCAGGGCUCCGGGCGGAUAUCUACCGGGCGGUGCACAUUUUGAAGCUCACUACCUUCGCGGAGGUGCUCGAUCGAGCGUUGUGGGCGGAGCAAGGAAACACUCACAUCCGGGAGGAGCGAGAAGCGUCCGAGAAGGACGGUGGUAAGAAGCGGGCUCAGAGUAGCUCGGGAGCUCAAACUAAGUCAAAGAGGCCCCCGAAGUACCCCCGAACGCAAUCCAAGGGCCGCGGACCGCAGCGAUCCACAAUCUGUGGUGGAAACCACGAGCCUAGGACGUGUGAUCAAUGGGAAGGGAAGUGCUUCACGUGUGGACAGGCGGGCCAUAUCAGCCGCCAUUGUCCAGUAAGGGCUUUGCCUGCCUCUUCGGUCGCGUCGGCUCCGGCGACUCCGGCACAUUAUGGAGGAGUUCCAUUUGCUGCGUAAUCGGCUUGACGUGCGAUGGUACCAGGCCAAUCUAAGGCGACGAGAUCGGCUCCGAGCGGGCGGGUGUUCGCCGCUCCAGGGCCAUGUUUGAUACAGGUGCUACGCAUUCAUUCAUUAGUAGGUCAUUUGCACGCAUGCAUGACAUAGAACUACAAGAGAGUAAAAGCACUUGGAGGGUAUCGGGCCCCGGACGUGAUUUUCUAGUCCGGAUGGAGUGUUCGUCUUGUCCAGUGCGAUUGGGUGAUUGGGUAAUGCCCAUCCGUAUGUUGGUGUUUAAGAAGUUGAAAGACUUCGACGUCAUUCUAGGAAUGGAUUGGCUCUCGAAAUACUAUGCAACUAUUCACUGCAGAAGUAAAGUAAUAACGUUUCGAGAGCCGGGCCAAAAGGAAUUCAUCUACCGAGCCUGUAGAAGCUCGCGCUUCGCUGCAAUGGUGUCGGUGACGAGGGCGAGGAAGUUGAUUAACAGCGGUUGUACGGCCUAUUUGGCGACCGUUGUAGAGGUCGAGAGGACGACUCCGGCACUCGAGGAACUAUCCGUGGUCCGAGAGUUUUCGGAUGUGUUUCCCGCGGAAUUACCGGGAAUGCCGCCAGACCGGAAGAUCGAGUUCGUGACAGAAUUGGUUUCGGGAACCGCGCCUAUCUCGAAGGCUCCGUAUCGGAUGGCGCCGGCGGAAUUGAAAAAAUUGCGGGCUCAAUUAUUGGAUCUCCUUGAUAAAGGGUUUAUACGGCCAAGUGUAUUGCCGUGGGGAGCCCCGGUCCUAUUCGUGCGAAAGAAGGAUGGAUCGUUUCGGCUCUGCGUAGAUUAUCGCGAGUUGAACAAGGUCACGAUCAAGAAUAAGUACCCGUUGCCGAGGAUUGACGAUCUGUUUGAUCAGUUGCAAGGGUCUCGGGUUUAUUCAAAGAUUGACCUGCAGUCCGGUUAUCACCAACUUAAGAUCAAGCAGGAAGAUGUGCAAAAUACCGCGUUUCGCACGCGGUAUGGACACUAUGAAUUCACGGUCAUGCCGUUUGGGCUUACUAACGCCCCGGCAGCGUUCAUGGAUUUGAUGAACCGUGUCUUCAAGGAGUACUUGGACCGAUUUGCCGUGGUCUUCAUAGACGACAUCUUGGUCUACUCGCGUAGCGACGAGGAACAUGCCGAACAUUUGAGAAUAGUGCUUCAAGUCCUUCGGGAGGAGAAGCUAUAUGCUAAGUUUAAGAAAUGCAACUUUUGGCUCCGAGAGGUUGCAUUUCUUGGGCAUGUUAUUUCCGAAGGUGAAGUAUCUGUUGACCCGAGGAAAGUGGAGGCGAUCAAGGAUUGGCCUCGCCCGACUAACGUCACGGAAGUUCGAAGCUUCGUGGGUUUAGCGGGUUAUUAUAGACGGUUCGUGGAGGGAUUCUCGAAGAUCGUGGGUCCACUUACCCGUCUGACUCGGAAAGGCGCCAAGUUCAUUUGGAACGACGAGUGCGACCGGAGUUUUCAAGAGUUGAAGAAUAGAUUAACUUCGACUCCGGUGCUCGCCUUAUCGGUGCAAGAUGAAGACUUUGUGGUGUAUAGCGACGCGUCACAUUCGGGCUUAGGGUGUGUUCUGAUGCAGGGCGAGAAGGUGAUCGCUUAUGCGUCCUGUCAGCUGAAAAGCUAUGAGAAGAACUACCCUGUUCACGACUUAGAGUUGGCCGUAGUAGUGUUAGCUCUCAAGUUAUGGAGGCACUACUUGUAUGGCGCGCGUUGCGAGAUAUACACGGACCACAAAAGUUUGAAAUACCUUUUCACACAGAAGGAGCUCAACAUGCGGCAGCGGCGGUGGUUAGAAUUGCUGAAGGAUUUCGAUAUCACAAUCCUAUACCACCCCGGAAAAGCAAACGUGGUGGUCGACGUGCUUAGCAGGAAGUCAGUGGAAAAUCUUGCUAUGUUGGUCACACGCCAGGAGCCACUGUGGAGAGAGAUGGAACGAUUGGAUCUCGAGGUGGUAGCUCCGAAAAUCCCGUCUAUGCUUAUGGCUCUUGUUGUCCAACCGACCUUGUUGGAGCAAAUUAAGAGUUUGCAAUCUGCAGACCCCAAUCUCCAAAAGGUGCGGCGAGACAUCGAGAGUGGACACGACGGUGAUUUCAGUGUAGACGCCGAGGGUGCGCUUCGGUUUCGAAAUCGAUGGUGCAUACCGAAAAUCGAGGAGGUCCGGAAGUUGAUCUUACAAGAAGCACAUCGGACUCCUUAUAGCAUUCACCCGGGCGGCACCAAGAUGUACCGUGACCUGAAGAUGCAGUACUGGUGGCCGGGCAUGAAAACUGAUAUUGGGCGCUAUGUAGCGCAAUGCUUAGUAUGCCAGCAAGUGAAGGUCGAGCGCCGAUUUUCAGCGGGAAAGCUCCAAAGUCUACCUAUCCCCGUUUCGAAAUGGGAGAAUAUUGCUAUAGACUUCGUGGUCGGAUUGCCCCGUUCGACGGGUGGCCACGACGCGAUCUGGGUGAUUGUGGAUCGUAUGACCAAGUCGGCACACUUUCUACCGAUUCACACCACCUGGUCGGGCGACAAGUUGGCGCAGGUAUACUUGGAUGAAGUUGUGAGGUUGCACGGGGUUCCGAAGUCGAUCGUGUUAGAUCGAGACCCUCAUUUUACUUCGCACUUUUGGAAGAGUCUGCAAGAAGCACUUGGCACACAGCUCGAUUUCAGCAUCGCGUUUCAU
rnacentral:lncRNA from 1 species